rnacentral:rRNA from 1 species
AGUGGGGAAUUUUGGACAAUGGGCGCAAGCCUGAUCCAGCCAUGCCGCGUGAGUGAAGAAGGCCUUCGGGUUGUAAAGCUCUUUCGGUGAAGACGAAACGGUUAGCGCUAAUAACGCUGACUAAUGACGGUACUCACAGAAGAAGCACCGGCUAACUACGUGCCAGCAGCCGCGGUAAUACGUAGGGUGCAGGCGUUAAUCGGAAUUACUGGGCGUAAAGCGUGCGCAGGCGGUUUGUUAAGACAGGUGUGAAAUCCCCGGGCUUAACCUGGGAAUUGCGCUUGUAACUGGCAAGCUAGAGUGUGGCAGAGGGGGGUGGAAUUCCACGUGUAGCAGUGAAAUGCGUAGAUAUGUGGAGGAACACCGAUGGCGAAGGCAGCCCCCUGGGUUAACACUGACGCUCAUGCACGAAAGCGUGGGGAGCAAA